GAUUCUGUUUCACUUUGUUCAGGAAUUGAUUAUUAAAUUUUUUAUCCAAAUAUUUUUGUAAGACCAUUUGUUCAGGUCUUGAUUAUCUUUUUUUUUUCCCCAGUAGCUUUCGUUUGUUUAUUUCCCCAGUAGCUUUCGUUUAGCUUAUUCUAACUCCUUUAUCUCCUACUUUUCUCCGCCGUGAAAUGGGAAACCGUCAGGCGGUGGAGACUGCAACAGCGGUGUUAGAACGACCAGACAGCAAGUCGGAUAGAUUUUACUGUACAGUGAUCGUUAAGUUAAUAAUUGUUAACACUAAAAUGAACGUCCAGUACUAUGUGUACUAAUACACCCACUUGCUUAUAAUACCAACAUAAUGACAUUCUAAUUUAUGUUCUGCCAUUGAUUCCGAAGUUGUUGGAUAUUUUAGAAGACAAUGGUGCAUUGUGAUGAACGUGCGGCAAAGGAUUGCAAAUUAAG
rnacentral:lncRNA from 1 species